rnacentral:rRNA from 1 species
AAUCUUGGCAUUAGUAGCAGCAUAGCAAGGUGAGAAUCCUUGCCGCCGAAAGGGCCAGGUUUCCUCGGCAAUGAUCGUCAGCCGAGGGUUAGUCGGUCCUAAGCCGCACCUUAACCGGAGUGCGACGAAAGGGAGACAGGUUAAUAUUCCUGUACUCGCACGCAACGAAACCGACGCUCGGGGCCAGCGCCGACAGUCCUGUCAGACUGCUCAAGCCAAUACGGCCGUGGAGAACCGUCACGGUGAGAAACGGCCUAACAGGUGAUGACGCAAGCGGCGUGACGCCCGGAGCCCAUGAAAAGGGAGCGUGCGAACCGUACCGAGAUCCGACACAGGUGCCCCUGGUUGAGAAGACCAAGGCGUGUCGGCACACCGUGGCCAAGGGAAUUCGGCAAAUUAGCCCCGUAACUUCGGGAUAAGGGGUGCCUGCCCUGAAGAGGGCAGGUCGCAGUGACGAGGGAGCACUAACUGUCUAAUAACAACAUAGCUGAUCGCCAAGCCGUAAGGCCUAGUACGAUCAGUGAAUCCUGCCCAGUGCGGGUACCUGAAAACCUCGCUCAGGGGGAAGAAGGGCCCGUCAACGGCGGGGGUAACUAUAACCCUCUUAAGGUAGCGUAGUACCUUGCCGCUUAAUUGGCGGCUUGCAUGAAUGGAUCAACGAGCGCUCCACUGUCCCUGGCCGGGCGCCGGUGAACAUUACAUCCUAGUGCAGAGUCUAGGGACCCCUAAUGGGAAGUGAAGACCCCGUGGAGCUUUACUGCAACCUGUCGCUGGGUUGUGGCCUUGGAUGUGCAGCGUAGGUAGGACCCGUCGAUCUCCAGGCGCCAGCCUGGAGGGAGGGGACAAUGAGACACUACCCUUCCUGGACUACGACCCUAACUCAGAGAUGAGGACCCCGAUAGGCGGGCAGUUUGGCUGGGGCGGCACGCCCUCGAAAAGAUAUCGAGGGCGCCCUAAGGUCAACUCAAUCGGGUCAGAAACCCGACCGAGAGUGUAAGAGCAUAAGUUGGCUUGACUGCCAUCCGCACAACGAGGAUGACAGAAACGAAAGUUGGGUCUAACGAACCACUAAGCCCCCCACGUGGGGGCUAUUGAUGUCAGAAAAGCUACCCCGGGGAUAACAGAGUCGUCGCCGGCAAGAGUACAUAUCGACCCGGCGGCUUGCUACCUCGAUGUCGGUUCUUUCCAUCCUGGCCGUGCAGCAGCGGCCAAGGGUGAGGUUGUUCGCCUAUUAAAGGAGAUCGUGAGCUGGGUUUAGACCGUCGUGAGACAGGUCGGUUACUAUCUGUUAGGGGUGCACUGUGGUCUGAGGGGAAGUUGCUUUUAGUACGAGAGGAACAAGGCAACGGCGCCGCUAGUCUACCAGUUGUCCGACAGGGCAUCGCUGGGCAGCCACGCGCCAAGUUGUAAGGGCUGAAAGCAUCUAAGCCCGAAAAACACCUCGAAAAGAGACCACACACGGGUACUCGUAAAAGACGAGCUUGAUAGAGUUGGGGCGUACGCGCCAAGGUAACGAGGCGCUCAACCCGCAACCACUAACCACCCAACCCGCCAAA